GAUCCUGGCUCAUGAUGAACGCUGGCGGCGUGCUUAACACAUGCAAGUCGAACGAUGAACCUCACUUGUGGGGGGAUUAGUGGCNAACGGGUGAGUAACACGUGAGUAACCUGCCCUUGACUCUGGGAUAAGCCUGGGAAACCGGGUCUAAUACUGGAUACGACCUUCUGGCGCAUGCCAUGUUGGUGGAAAGCUUUUGUGGUUUUGGAUGGACUCGCGGCCUAUCAGCUUGUUGGUGGGGUAAUGGCCUACCAAGGCGACGACGGGUAGCCGGCCUGAGAGGGUGACCGGCCACACUGGGACUGAGACACGGCCCAGACUCCUACNGNAGGCAGCA
rnacentral:rRNA from 1 species